rnacentral:lncRNA from 1 species
UGCCCAGCAGAAUUCAGGACCCAGGGUGGGGAGAGCUCAGAAAUGACUUGGGGACCAUCUGUCUCCUUCCAGCCAUGGGCAAAUUAUCAUCUUUCUCAAGUCCUCUCGGGUCUCAUUUCCAACUGAAGCCUGAUUUCCUUAUGGUCACAGCAGGAGUUCUCAACAUCCUGGGGCUCUAACUCAACGACAAGACACUGGGCCUUCUCUUCACACCCUGGGAAGCCUGGACUGGGACAAGGGAAAGAUGAGGGAGCCUCCUGAAGUUUUCAUACCGGGAGCCAUCAGAAAGGGUACAUGUGGUGAGCCUCUGCUCUUACAGAACACAGGCUUUGAAAAAGACUUCACAGAGGAUUCAUGCUGCCCCUGCCCCUAGGAAGCCCCUCUUCAGCUCCUCUGCCAAGAGGCCAUCUCUCCUUAAUCUCCGUUUUAUUGUGGUAAAGUGUACAUAACCGAAAUCUACCAUCAUAACCAUUUUAAGGUGUACAAUUCAGCAGCAUUUAGGACAUUCACAACAUUGGGCAACCAUCACCAUUAUCUAGUCCCAGAACAUUUUUGUUACCAAAAGAGAAGACCCCAUACCCAUUAGCAGUCACUUCCUAUAUCUUAGCCCCUAAUCCCCUGGCAACUCUCUCUGUGGCUUUGUCUGUUCUGGAUAUUUCUUAUAAAUGGAAUCAAAUAAAUGUGGCCUUUUGUGACUGGCUUCCUUCACUU